AAUGCAAAACAUUAUUAUCAUUAUCAUUAUUAUUAUUAUUACUGUCGAAGGCUUUCACUGCCUUGCUGUGAGUUUAUGGCCAUGCCCCAGAAGCAUUCUCUCCUGACGUUUCGCCUGCAUCUAUGGCAGGCAUCCUCAGAGGUUGUGAGGUGUGUAUAUUAUUAUUAUUAUUAUUAGUAGUAGUAUGUUAUUAUUGUUAAUAAUAAUAUUAGUAUAUUAUUAUUGUUAUUAUUACUAUUGUCGAAGGCUUUCACUGCCUUGCUGUGAGUUUAUGGCCAUGCCCCAGAAGCAUUCUCUCCUGACGUUUCGCCUGCAUCUAUGGCAGGCAUCCUCAGAGGUUGUGUGUAUAUUAUUAUUAUUAUUAUUAUUAUUUGUAGUAUAUUAUUAUUAUUAUUAGUAGUAGUAGUAGUAGUAGUAGUAUGUUGUUAUUAUUAUUAUUAUUGUCGAAGGCUUUCACUGCCUUGCUGUGAGUUUAUGGCCAUGCCCCAGAAGCAUUCUCUCCUGACGUUUCGCCUGCAUCUAUGGCAGGCAUCCUCAGAGGUUGUGAGGUGUGUAUAUUAUUAUUAUUAUUAUUAGUAGUAGUAUGUUAUUAUUGUUAAUAAUAAUAUUAGUAUAUUAUUAUUGUUAUUAUUACUAUUGUCGAAGGCUUUCACUGCCUUGCUGUGAGUUUAUGGCCAUGCCCCAGAAGCAUUCUCUCCUGACGUUUCGCCUGCAUCUAUGGCAGGCAUCCUCAGAGGUUGUGUGUAUAUUAUUAUUAUUAUUAUUAUUAUUUGUAGUAUAUUAUUAUUAUUAUUAGUAGUAGUAGUAGUAGUAGUAGUAUGUUGUUAUUAUUAUUAUUACUGUCGAAGGCUUUCACUGCCUUGCUGUGAGUUUAUGGCCAUGCCCCAGAAGCAUUCUCUCCUGACGUUUCGCCUGCAUCUAUGGCAGGCAUCCUCAGAGGUUGUGAGGUGUGUAUAUUAUUAUUAUUAUUAUUAGUAGUAGUAUGUUAUUAUUGUUAAUAAUAAUAUUAGUAUAUUAUUAUUGUUAUUAUUACUAUUGUCGAAGGCUUUCACUGCCUUGCUGUGAGUUUAUGGCCAUGCCCCAGAAGCAUUCUCUCCUGACGUUUCGCCUGCAUCUAUGGCAGGCAUCCUCAGAGGUUGUGUGUAUAUUAUUAUUAUUAUUAUUAUUAUUUGUAGUAUAUUAUUAUUAUUAUUAUUAGUAGUAGUAGUAGUAGUAGUAUGUUGUUAUUAUUAUUAUUAUUGUCGAAGGCUUUCACUGCCUUGCUGUGAGUUUAUGGCCAUGCCCCAGAAGCAUUCUCUCCUGACGUUUCGCCUGCAUCUAUGGCAGGCAUCCUCAGAGGUUGUGUGUAUAUUAUUAUUAUUAUUAUUCGUAGUAUAUUAUUAUUAGUAGUAGUAGUAGUAUGUUGUUAUUAUUAUUAUUAUUAUUAUUGUCGAAGGCUUUCACUGCCUUGCUGUGAGUUCAUGGCCAUGCCCCAGAAGCAUUCUCUCCUGAUGUUUCGCCUGCAUCUAUGACAGGCAUCCUCACAGGUUGUGAGGUGUGUAUAUUAUUAUUAUUAUUAUUAGUUCUAGUAUUAGAUUAUUAUUAGUAAUAGUAUGUUGUUGUUGUUAUUAUUGUCGAAGGCUUUCACUGCCUUGCUGUGAGUUUCUGGCCAUGCCACAGAAGCAUUCUCUCCUGACGCUUCGCCUGCAUCUAUGGCAGGCAUCCUCAGAGGUUGUGAGCGGCCAGAAUAACCUUAGCAAAACAAUGGAAAACUGAACUGAUCCCAGAGACUGAGCAGUGGCUGGAGAAACUAGACGAAAUAAAGAAUAUGGAUAAACUUACUUGGUAUUUGAAAGAAAUCAGAGGUAAACCGACAAAGAAGACAAACUGGGAAAAAAUGGACAUGUACUUUCAACAAAGGGACAAGAAGAAACGAACCGGGACAAUGUUAGAAAGUUAAUUGAAAAAAUUACAGUACCGAGUUAAGGGAAAGAACGGAAGUUUUUUUUUGGAAAUAAUCCCCCUUCCCUCCUUUCCUGUGUUUUCCUUACGUUCCUAUUUGUGCAUCACUCCCUUUUUGUACUUACAGUAGAGUCCCGCUUAUCCAACGUAAACGGGCCGACAGAACGUUGGAUAAGCGAAUAUGUUGGAUAAUAAGGAGAGAUUAAGGAAAAGCCUAUUAAACAUUAAAUUAGUUUAUGAUUUUACAAAUUAAGCACCAAAACAUUAUGUUAUACAACAAAUUUGACAGAAAAAGUCGUUCAAUAUGCAGUAAUACUAUGUAGUAAUUACUGUAUUUACGAAUUUAGCACCUAAAUAUCAGGAUUUAUUGAAAACAUUGACUACAAAAAUGCGUUGGAUAAUCCAGAACGUUGGAUAAGCGAGUGUUGGAUAAGUGAGACUCUACUGUAUUUCUCUCCCCUUCCCUUUUCCUCCCCCCCCCCCCCCCCAUGGUUUUUCCUCACAGGUAUUCCUCGUUUUUAAAUUGUUUUGUAUAUCACACUGUUUGUUUUUCACUUAUCCUUUCAAUAAAUAAAUAAAUAAAUAAAUAAAUAAAU